rnacentral:tRNA from 1 species
GCGGGUGUAGUUCAAUGGUAGAACACCAGCCUUCCAAGCUGGAUACGUGGGUUCGAUUCCCCGUCUAUCGCUC